UUGACUCCAUUUCUGCCCUCUUGGAUGAGGAGUCUGAGGGAAGCUGGGAGCAGGCUGCAGAGGCUUCGGAGGCCAGCCUUUCGUCCAGUCCGUGGGAUUCUCCCGAAGAAGGGGAAGCCUCGCUGGACAAUGUCAGCAGCCUGGAGGAGGACUCCCUGGACCUCAGUCUCUAAUUAAAAGAGACGCUUCCCCAGAUGCCUCUCCAGAAGGCAGAUCGGAGGAGGAUGAACCAGUCCCAGGCACAUCAGGAGGUGAGUUGGCCAAUGCCUCCGAGCAGCCAGCGGAGAGUGAUUUGGCUGAAGCACAGCUGCAGCAGGAGAGCCCUGAAACUUCCGGGCAGCUGCAGAUGGUUAGCUUUGAGCAGGAACUGCUUUCUGCAUUAUCCGAGAACAACUAGGGAAGAGAAAAGGCAGGAGCAGCAAAGGGCGGUUCUUUCACUCACGAGGAGGCAGUCUUGCCUUUCUUGAUGGGCUGCACCAGAAGCUGGCAAUUGAGCACAGCAGACAAAUGGAGGCCAUGCUGGGAACAAUGCAUUCAUGACUAGGGGGUUGGAGUAGAAGACCUCCAAGGUCCCUUCCAACUCUUGGUAUUCUAUCUGCAUAUAGACGGAUGGCGGAAUCAGCCCCAGCGGCGAAGCCCUGCGAGGAGCCACUUUCCAACGAGGAAGUUCCUGCGUCUUGUUAAUGUUAUUGUUGUAAUUCUUUUUGUUGUACCUGUU